rnacentral:rRNA from 1 species
AUUGAACGCUGGCGGCAGGCUUAAUACAUGCAAGUAGAGCGAGCGGCGGACGGGUGAGUAAUGUCUGGGAAACUGCCCGAUGGAGGGGGAUAACUACUGGAAACGGUAGCUAAUACCGCAUACCAUCAGAUGCGCCCAGAUGGGAUUAGCUAGUAGGUGGGGUAAUGGCUCACCUAGGCGACGAUCCCUAGCUGGUCUGAGAGGAUGAUCAGCCACACUGGAACUGAGAAAGGGUCAAGACUCCUACGGGAGGCAGCAGUGGGGAAAAUGGCACAAGGGGCGCAAGCCUGAUGCAGCCAGGCCGCGUGUGUUAAGAGGGCAGUCGGGUUGUAAAGCACUUUCAGCGAGGAGGCGUUACGCGCAUAAGAAGCACCGGGUAACUCCGUGCCAGCAGCCGCGGUAAUUC